rnacentral:rRNA from 1 species
AUGGCCGAUAUAAGUGCUGAGUGUUUGGAUGUGUACGUAAACAUUGUCAGCAGGAUGUUUCAUAGCGAGGAUGAAGGUUUUGAGUUCUAUAACAAGUAUGCUCUUGAGAAAUGCUUUAGUGUGAGAAAAGGCUAUGUUGAGUGGGAUGAAGCGAACGAGAAGAUAAUUCUGAGGAAAUUUGUCUGUAGUCGUGAAGGUUGCCGUGAAGAGAAGCACAUGAAGAGGAAGAGAGAAGAUAGGAAGAGGAAGCCACGAAAUAUCACUCGUGUGGGGUGUAAAGCGAAAUUUGUCAUUGCAAGAGUCGCCAAAACAGGGCGGUGGUUUGUGAAGGAUUUCAUCGAUGAACACAACCAUCCUCUGGCCCCACGAGACGUCGCUUGCUUUUUGCGUUCCCACAGAAGAAUCAGCGACGAGCAGAAAGCGGACAUACGACGAGCAGAAAGCGGACAUUAUAGAGAUGGAAAGUGUUGGAAUCCAGAAACACAAAAUCAUGGAUGUGUUGUGCAUGCAGUACGGUGGAUAUGA